rnacentral:rRNA from 1 species
UCCUACGGGAGGCAGCAGUAGGGAAUCUUCGGCAAUGGGCGAAAGCCUGACCGAGCAACGCCGCGUGAAUGAUGAAGGCCUUCGGGUUGUAAAAUUCUGUUAUAAGGGAAGAACGACUUUAGUAGGAAAUGGCUAGAGUGUGACGGUACCUUAUGAGAAAGCCACGGCUAACUACGUGCCAGCAGCCGCGGUAAUACGUAGGUGGCGAGCGUUAUCCGGAAUUAUUGGGCGUAAAGAGCGCGCAGGUGGUUGAUUAAGUCUGAUGUGAAAGCCCACGGCUUAACCGUGGAGGGUCAUUGGAAACUGGUCGACUUGAGUGUAGAAGAGGGAAGUGGAAUUCCAUGUGUAGCGGUGAAAUGCGUAGAGACAUGGAGGAACACCAGUGGCGAAGGCGGCUUCCUGGUCUGUAACUGACACUGAGGCGCGAAAGCGUGGGGAGCAAACAGGAUUAGAUACCCUGGUAGUCCACGCCGUAAACGAUGAGUGCUAAGUGUUGGGGGUCGAACCUCAGUGCUGAAGUUAACGCAUUAAGCACUCCGCCUGGGGAGUACGGUCGCAAGACUGAAACUCAAAGGAAUUGACGG